rnacentral:rRNA from 1 species
UGGGGAAUAUUGGACAAUGGGCGCAAGCCUGAUCCAGCCAUGCCGCGUGGAUGAUGAAUGCCCUCUGGGUUGUAAACUUCUUUUAUAGGGGAAGAAAGAUACUUUUCUUAAGGUAGUUGACGGUACCCUAUGAAUAAGCACCGGCUAACUCCGUGCCAGCAGCCGCGGUAAUACGGAGGGUGCAAGCGUUAUCCGGAUUUACUGGGUUUAAAGGGUGCGUAGGCGGGCAUGUAAGUCAGUGGUGAAAUACCGGAGCUUAACUUCGGAACUGCCAUUGAUACUAUAUGUCUUGAAUAUUGUGGAGGUUAGCGGAAUAUGUCAUGUAGCGGUGAAAUGCAUAGAUAUGACAUAGAACACCGAUUGCGGAGGCAGCUUGCUACGCAAAUAUUGACGCUGAGGCACGAAAGCGUGGGGAUCAAACA